AACGAACGCUGGCGGCAUGCCUAACACAUGCAAGUCGAACGAGACCUUCGGGUCUAGUGGCGCACGGGUGCGUAACGCGUGGGAACCUGCCCUUAGGUUCGGAAUAACUCCCCGAAAGGGGUGCUAAUACCGGAUAAUGUCUUCGGACCAAAGAUUUAUCGCCUUUGGAUGGGCCCGCGUUGGAUUAGCUAGUUGGUAGGGUAAAAGCCUACCAAGGCGACGAUCCAUAGCUGGUCUGAGAGGAUGAUCAGCCACACUGGGACCGAGACACGGCCCAGACUCCUACGGGAAGCAGCAGUGGGGAAUAUUGGACAAUGGGCGAAAGCCUGAUCCAGCAAUGCCGCGUGAGUGAUGAAGGCCUUAGGGUUGUAAAGCUCUUUUACCCGGGAUGAUAAUGACAGUACCGGGAGAAUAAGCUCCGGCUAACUCCGUG
rnacentral:rRNA from 1 species